GACGAACGCUUGCGACGUGCCUAAGAAAUGCAAGUCGAACGGGGUAGCAAUACCUAGUGGCGAACGGUCGCGUAACACGUGGGCAACCUGCCCUGAAGCGGGGGACGAACAAGUCGAAGAAUUUGUCUAAUACCGCAUGUGUCUCGCUGCGGCAUCGCAGAGGGGACGAAAGCCGCAAGGCACUUCAGGAUGGGCCCGGCGGCCUAUCAGCUUGUUGGUGAGGUAACGGCCCACCAAGGCUUCGACGGGUAGCUGGUCUGAGAGGACGAUCAGCC
rnacentral:rRNA from 1 species